rnacentral:lncRNA from 1 species
GCUGCUUCCUGCCCUUGUGCCACCCUCAUAUCCCUGUUGGUUACAGAACAGGGAGCGAGACAGCUGGAUGAUAUGACUGAAGCUUCAGUAUUUCAGAGGGGGCUCAAGAGAAGAGAGGAAACUGAUACUGCUUUGUUGAUAAUUAAGCCAGAUUUUUGUUGUUUUGUGGAAAUUUACAAGUUGCUAAAAAAGCAUUCAAAGUAGUAAAGAGGUCAUGAGAAAGUCACAGUGGAAACCGGUUCCAGGCAAGAAACAAUCC